CGAACGGGUGAGUAAUACAUCGGAACGUGCCCAGUAGUGGGGAUAACCCGGCGAAAGCCGGACUAAUACCGCAUACGACCUACGGGUGAAAGCAGGGGAUCGCAAGACCUUGCGCUAUCGGAGCGGCCGAUGUCAGAUUAGCUUGUUGGCGGGGUAAAAGCCCACCAAGGCGACGAUCUGUAGCUGGUCUGAGAGGACGACCAGCCACACUGGGACUGAGACACGGCCCAG
rnacentral:rRNA from 1 species